rnacentral:rRNA from 1 species
AAACUGGAGAGUUUGAUCCUGGCUCAGAACAAACGCUGGCGGCGUGCCUAACACAUGCAAGUCGUACGAGAAAGGGUCCUUCGGGAUCUGAGUAAAGUGGCGCACGGGUGAGUAACGCGUGGAUAAUCUGCCCCUCAGUUGGGAAUAACUCAUCGAAAGGUGGGCUAAUACCGAAUAAUACUGUGAGACUUUGGUCGAUCAGUCAAAGAGAGCCUCUGCUUGCAAGCCCUCGCUGAAGGAUGAGUCCGCGUACCAUUAGCUUGUUGGUAGGGUAAUGGCCUACCAAGGCGACGAUGGUUAGCUGGUCUGAGAGGAUGAUCAGCCACACUGGAACUGAGACACGGUCCAGACUCCUACGGGAGGCAGCAGUGAGGAAU